GACGGGGGAUGCAAGUGUUAUCCGGAAUCACUGGGCGUAAAGCGCACGUAGGCGGAUUGCUAAGUCAGGGGUGAAAUCCUGGAGCUCAACUCCAGAACUGCCCUUGAUACUGGCGGUCUCGAGUCCGGGAGAGGUGAGUGGAACUGCGAGUGUAGAGGUGAAAUUCGUAGAUAUUCGCAAGAACACCAGUGGCGAAGGCGGCUCACUGGCCCGGUACUGACGCUCAUGCACGAAAGCGUGGGGAGCAAACAGG
rnacentral:rRNA from 1 species